rnacentral:tRNA from 1 species
GGGAAUGUAGCUCAGUGGUAGAGUGCUCAUCUAGAAUGGGUGAAACUGGGUUCAAUCCCCAGUACUGACA